CUUGGUGUGUUGCCAGGAGCUCGAGUUCUUGUAAUGGUGUGCUUUUGCAUUUUUAUCUUCUGGCUUCCUGGGAGGGAGGUGACCACAGCCACCUUGAAAGGAUGAUGGAAGCUUUGUCAUCCUGAUCCCCUGAAUGACUGCAUAGAGCUGGGCUGUCCCUGACCUGGAACUCCCAUCCUGAUCUGCUAACUUGUUCCGUGAGACACUAAAUUUGGAGGAAACACACUUUACAGAAGCAACUUCUCAUAAAGAUUGCCAAAGCUUGGCGCCCCUACCUUUCCCACUCAUUCAUCCUGUUUUGGGCCCAGCACUGAGCUCCUGUGAUUGGCUUAUAUUCUUAAAACCAGGAAGCAUGAUGCCCAGCAGAUUUCUAGCCUGUCUGAUCCUGCCCCAGUGCUUGGUAACCAAGUCCUAUGUUACUGAUUGUUGUCUAUUUUACCAUGCCUCCUGGUUCCAGACCCUGGCUACAAACUGUUUUUUUUUUUUAAAUAUUCCUAAUAAACUUUUGCUUUAAGAUGUGAAUUUACUAUAAUAAGAGGAUCUUGACAGUAAUAGUUUUAUUUUCUUAUUAAUGCAAAAGUUAAACUACUGACCACAGAGCUGCAAUAUGGACUCUUCCUAUGGCUAUGAAUGUAUAUAAGAGUAAAACACUAUCUUAUGUCUUUUAUCAUAAUAAACCCCUCUUUACCAUAUAGAAUUUAUAAUGG
rnacentral:lncRNA from 1 species